CUGGCUCAGGACGAACGCUGGCGGCACGCUUAACACAUGCAAGUCGAACGGUGAAAGUACUUCGGUACUGGAUCAGUGGCGGACGGGUGAGUAACACGUGAGCAAUCUGCCUUUAAGAGGGGAAUAACGACUGGAAACGGUC
rnacentral:rRNA from 1 species